GUCUCCUUUUCCCUCCAGCUCUCCUGCUAUCCUUGCAUAUGAGAAAGGAUCCUUCAUGGGCAUUGCUCUGUGUUCUGCUGACCAUUAGUAGCUAAGGCCUGCUGCUUAAUUUAAUGGGACUACGGAAAAUGGUUUAUACUGGGAAUGAAAUACAUGAAGCAGAAACCAAGAUGCAUAUUUACAGUGAGGGAUCAAUUCUAAAGUGGAAAGCUGGCUCCUGUCUCUGAGAAGAUGAGCAAUGUUUGUUUUCUGGAGAGGCCAGAUGUGCUCACCAUCAUGCCACUGGCAGUGCCUCUCACGAGCAAACGAGCUGCAGCGGGAGAGAGAAACAGCAGUGAGGGCCGGCUGUGAUUUGUGCCAGAGUGACUGCAGAUCUGUGCCACAGGAGGAACAGCAGCUCCCUUUACCAUCGAGCACCUCCGAGGGACCACAGGGCCUUCUGGGGCCCCAGGACUCAGGGCCACUCCUCGGACCUGGGUGGGUCCUUGACUUCUCCUUUGGUUUUGCUGCCAUUGUCUUCAGUUUGGCUUCUCCCUUCUGUUCAUCUUUUGAGAAUUCUCUGGUGAUUUCAGUGAGUGGGUUUCUUUUCCUUCAGAAAAGGGAAUCUACCUCUC